rnacentral:rRNA from 1 species
UACGUAGGGGGCAAGUGUUGUCCGGAUUUAUUGGGCGUAAAGAGCGUGUAGGCGGUCAGGUAGGUCCGUUGUGAAAACUCGAGGCUCAACCUCGAGACGCCGAUGGAAACCAUCUGACUAGAGUCCGGAAGAGGAGAGUGGAAUUCCUGGUGUAGCGGUGAAAUGCGCAGAUAUCAGGAAGAACACCCGUGGCUAAGGCGGCUCUCUAGUACGGUACUGACGCUGAGACGCGAAAGCGUGGGGAGCGAACAGG